AAUGCUCAAUCACCAUCUACUUCCUCUUCUUCUUCUGCUAGGGCACAACAACAACAUUGCAGCAUCCCAAAUUCCGUGCUCCUUCCUCUUCUCCUUCUGAACCUCUCUCCCUUGCCGAGUCAAGCUCUCCCUCGCUGGCUUUCUUUUGUCUUCUUUAUGAUUUAUGAUAUGACUUCUUUAACCUUUCUUCCAUGAGGAUUGGAAAACGAUUGAUGCACCCACAUUCGUAGUUUUAGAAAUUUCAGUGCCAUAGUUGAAGAAUCACAACAUCAAGUGGAAACCCUAUUUGACUUGUUAGCUUUGAAACAUCUAAUAAUGCUUGGUGGCUUCUUUAAUUUCCUGACCCCCCACCUCCUGAUGGUCUCUGUUUUUGGCUAACAUUAUAGCCCUCCAUUUCAUUGCUGCAAUUAAUGUGAUUGCUUCUGAUGAAUCCCAUACUUGAGGAGACAGCUGAAAUGGUUAUUUGCAGACAAUGAAUUAAUCGAUCGGUCCAAGCUGCGGAAAUGGGAGAAGAGGGACGAUUAUUAGCCAUUACCCCCACUCGGGCUUUUGCCACAGUGGUCACUCUCAUGGUUUCUUUUGGAUUUUUCUUCCAAGGCACGCUGAAACAGACCAAAAGUGGUUGAAUAGGAGGAAGAGAAAAUCAUUACUUGUUGUAUUAAAGAAGAUUAAAGAAGAGCUGAUGCUUUUUGGACUUCUUUCAUUGUUGAUGGGUCACUGGAUUGUUUUUGUUGUAAGAAUUUGUGUCUAGUCAUCUGUCUUGAGCAACCGUUUCUAUCCUUGUGCGUUGGAGACUGAUCUGAAACGAGUUAGACAUAUUUUCAUUGCAACUCAAGGCUUGAACGAUUCUAUUCCAAGGGAGCACAAUAACGAUGGGAUACAAGAGUAUUGUCCUGAGAUAUAUGGCUGGAUAACAUGGGAAAAUGAGGCUAAGGCUCUGGCCAUUCGAAACACUCAAGAUACAUGGGGUGAGAACUUUCCAAUUAGUGAUCCUGACUGGGACCUUGUCAUAGCCAGCGGUAUUUUACUCUGUA